rfam:Danio rerio chromosome 12, GRCz11 reference primary assembly.
AAUACUAGCAGCUAGCUCUCUGCAACUCUCACAUGGUCGUCUACUUAAGCCAAGCAGGGCUGUGCCCGGUCAGUACCUGGAUGGGAGACCAAAUGGGAAAGCUAGGUUGCAGAAGUG